rfam:Micromonospora aurantiaca ATCC 27029, complete genome.
CUUGAUCGAGCCGAGCCAGAGCGGCCGGUCCGCGGACCGACCCUGCCCAUACGUGGCGAUCAGGGCCUGCGCCUC